UGGGCUGGAGCUCAAUGGUAAAGCACAUGCCUAGCAUGCACGACACCCUGGGUUUGAGCCCCAGCAUUGCAA
rnacentral:tRNA from 1 species